GCGGAGGAAAAGAAACCAACAGGGAUUCCCCUAGUAACGGCGAGUGAAGCGGGAACAGCUCAAAUUUGAAAUCUGGCCCUUGGGUCCGAGUUGUAAUUUGCAGAGGAUGCUUUUGGUGCGGUGCCUUCCGAGUUCCCUGGAACGGGACGCCUUAGAGGGUGAGAGCCCCGUACGGUUGGCCACCAAGCCUGUGUAAAGCUCCUUCGACGAGUCGAGUAGUUUGGGAAUGCUGCUCAAAAUGGGAGGUAUAUUUCUUCUAAAGCUAAAUACUGGCCAGAGACCGAUAGCGCACAAGUAGAGUGAUCGAAAGAUGAAAAGCACUUUGAAAAGAGGGUUAAAUAGCACGUGAAAUUGUUGAAAGGGAAGGAUUUAUGACCAGACUUUUUCUGGGGGGAUCAUCCGGUGUUCUCACCGGUGCACUUCCCCCAGUGGAGGCCAGCAUCGGUUCCUGUCGGGGGACAAAAGCCUCGGGAAUGUGGCUCCUCCGGGAGUGUUAUAGCCCGUUGCAUAAUACCCUGACGGGGACCGAGGUUCGCGCAUCUGCAAGGAUGCUGGCGUAAUGGUCAUCAAUCACCCGUCUUGAAACACGGACCAAGGAGUCGAACAUUUGUGCGAGUGUUUGGGUGUUAAACCCUCACGCGUAAUGAAAGUGAACGGAGGUGAGAGCCCCUCGGGGUGCAUCAUCGACCGAUCCUGAUGUCUUCGGAUGGAUUUGAGUAAGAGCAUAACUGUUCGGACCCGAAAGAUGGUGAACUAUGCGUGGAUAGGGUGAAGCCAGAGGAAACUCUGGUGGAGGCUCGCAGCGGUUCUGACGUGCAAAUCGAUCGUCAAAUCUGCGCAUGGGGGGCGAAAGACUAAUCGAACC
rnacentral:rRNA from 1 species